AACGAACGCUGGCGGCAUGCCUAACACAUGCAAGACGAACGAAGCCUUCGGGCUUAGUGGCGCACGGGUGCGUAACGCGUGGGAAUCUGCCCUUGGGUUCGGAAUAACAGUUAGAAAUGACUGCUAAUACCGGAUGAUGUCUUCGGACCAAAGAUUUAUCGCCCAAGGAUGAGCCCGCGUAGGAUUAGGUAGUUGGUGGGGUAAUGGCCCACCAAGCCGACGAUCCUUAGCUGGUCUGAGAGGAUGAUCAGCCACACUGGGACUGAGACACGGCCCAGACUCCUACGGGAGGCAGCAGUGGGGAAUAUUGGACAAUGGGCGAAAGCCUGAUCCAGCAAUGCCGCGUGAGUGAUGGAGGCCUUAGGGUUGUAAAGCUCUUUUACCAGGGAUGAUAAUGACAGUACCUGGAGAAUAAGCUCCGGCUAACUCCGUGCCAGCCGCCGCCGUAAGAC
rnacentral:rRNA from 1 species